GAAAAAAAUUGUAUGGUAUACGUGAACACAAAACUGUGUUCAAAUUUACCAUGACCAAUUAUGUUAUUAAUAACAGACAGUAAGGUUCAUUUAACCGAUUUGUUGUGAGAAAUACUAUGCCUCAUAUGAAAACUUCGAAGUGGUGAUGACUACGUUUUGUAGUUAAAAAUACUAUGCACUUUAGGUAUCAAAAGUACUACUUUUGUAGUAAAAUUAACUAUGCGCGUAGUAAGCAUUAAGCGUUGCUACCAUGACGUACUUUUUCUACCAUGUUUCUGGUCAACUCAAGCGUAUUGUACCGACGUUUUUCAGCUGACAAUUUUUUCGCUCAAAAUUUACCACAAAAAUGGUAAUUUUCUGUGCUAUUUGUCGAGGAUUGACGUUUGGCCAUUUUGUACACAAAUAAGUGCAGUCGAAUUCGUUUGCGCGCACUGUUUUCAAUUAUAUUGAUUAAUUUAAACACAACCUAAUGAAUAUUUCUUAAAAAGUGGGAAGCAAAAGGUGGAAUAGUGGACGCAGACGUAAAGGUGAGUAAAUAUAAAUUCUUUUAUGAGGAAAUUACUCUGAAAACUGUUUUCAUUUCCCUCGCAGUUGAGGAUCGUGGAAUGAAUUUCAUCAUAGACUUUUCUGGUUUCUAUUCGCAACCAAGAACCCUUAAACAGAAGAUUGUUUUAAAUAUAUACUUCUUUUUAAUCGUCUAAAAUGGAUAAGAGGCGCCAUACAGAGGCAUCCGGCGGUACGAUCAAGCUUCGACGGGGAAUAGCCAGAAUUUGAAGGUUACGUUUCUAUGAGUGAUUAGUAAUUUAUUACAACGUCUGAAAGCUGACAUAAAUACUCGCGAAAAAUUAAGUAAAUAAACUAUGCAUGACAAAUGUA